GGGAUAAUAGUUAUAUAAUAACAUUUAAUUUGCAAUUAAAAGGUACUACUAAGUUUAUCUCA
rnacentral:tRNA from 1 species